rnacentral:tRNA from 1 species
UCCUAGCUGGCUCAGUUGGAAGAGCAUUUGACUCUUAAUCUCAGGGUCAUGAGUUCAAACCCCAUGUUGGGGG